UACGUAGGUGGCAAGCGUUGUCCGGAAUUAUUGGGCGUAAAGCGCGCGCAGGCGGUCCUUUAAGUCUGAUGUGAAAGCCCACGGCUCAACCGUGGAGGGUCAUUGGAAACUGGGGGACUUGAGUGCAGAAGAGGAAAGCGGAAUUCCACGUGUAGCGGUGAAAUGCGUAGAGAUGUGGAGGAACACCAGUGGCGAAGGCGGCUUUCUGGUCUGUAACUGACGCCGAGGCGCGAAAGCGUGGGGGGCAAACAGG
rnacentral:rRNA from 1 species